GACGACGUACUUCAUAGGAUCAUAUCUAUAGGUCACGUCCUUCUUUGAGCUCUUCUAAAGAGCCACAGAAUCCAACUUGGUUGAUGAGAUAGAUACCUGCACACCCUAGAGUGAGAAUUAUGUUUGUUAGGUUGUUGUCUUCGGACAUCACCUUCUUGCGAAGCCUUUGUAUAGAAUCACGGAUGUUUUCAUUUAUGAUCUUAUCCAAGACGUCUUUGAAGGAGCGAUGAUCUUGACCCUCUAUAUGUGCUUCCUCGGAAGAGUUAUAUUGGGUGGGUGUGUAUGGCUGUCUGACAAGU
rnacentral:snoRNA from 1 species